rnacentral:snoRNA from 1 species
CUCCUCUCAGGGUCACACCUGGAGAGUUCCCAGUACUCUACCAGUCUCGACUACAGGAGGGAGAGUCAGGCAGAGGCCUGCCCAUUUCAUUCCGAGCUUGGGCAGUGGAUAGCGAGUGGAAGGCAAUCUGCUUCAAGU